GUUGCUUUUAUGUUUUAUGUAAAGCACUUUGAAUUGCCUUGUUGUUGAAAUGUGCUAUACAAAUAAACUUGCCUUUCCUUGCCUAAUGUUCCCCUCUCCUUGCACUGCCAGCAGGGACAUCUGGACACCAGUGAUGUGAAGACCCAAUGGAAAGCUGAACCUGAUAUUUGGCUCUGUGUAUUUCUGUCUCUUUGUGAUGUGGACACACAUCUGUGUGUCUCUGCCCAGCCUAUUCAUAGAACGACCACUUUAGCAGUCUUGAGGGGCCUCCCAUAGGAAUCCACCUUGAUGUAAAGACUGACACAUGGUUGCAGGAUUUAGUGUGUUUCGCUCUGUUGCCCGAGUUGACAUGACAACAUUUGUGUGUUGUAAAUGCUGCAAGUUAAAUACAUAAGACAUUGCAAACAUCCGAAGUUCCCACUUGUCCUGAACAGAGCACAGUUGAUGUACUGGACAUUGGUAGGGCUAGAUGUCCAAUCCCCGCCUUCCCGCCGGCCGCAGCCAGUACUUGCACACUUCCAGCCUGUCCACUGGCAAGGCCAACAAUUCAUGCUGCCAUAAAGAUGCCCACCUCUGCCAAGUGGGAAGGUUGGUUUAGAAGAAAGCCCCCGGCCCUCAGGGGGCUCAUGCGUUGUGUCAACAUGGUCUCUCAGAUCAGCCAGCUGCCCAGCCUCAGGCCGAAACCCACCAAACACCAUGCCUCUGGUGCAGAGCAGCGCAGAUAGGUGGGAUAAUACCCACAGCUUUCCUUUGCCAACUGUACUGAAGAAACAACAUGGAGAUGAGUGUCUCCGUGCCAGCUUCCUGCCAUCAGAUUAACACAGUCUGGCAUGAACUGAUAGACUGACUGGAUCCACAGACUGUGAACAGCAGCCGGGCACAGCUGUGGGCUUUUGACCACCUCAAAGCAUAAGACUAAAAUAAAAAGACAGCACAAAUCAGUACAGAUGCAUUCAGUAACUGGCUGAUGGAAAGGAGGGGCAUAAUGCCUUUCUUUACAUACAGUUAAUGGCCAAGUGUGGACAUACAGCCACAUUAAAGAUCAACAAAGUUUAAAGGGGCACUCCAACUGUUUGCAAUGCAUUUUGUGGCUCUGGAAGGAGCUUUUUAAACUCUGACAAACUCUGACAAAACAACCCUGAUGAUGUCAUAGUGAUGUAAGCAGGGUUGUCUUGACUUGGAGACUAAGAAUUUCUAACAGAAAUCUUGUGUUACGAACUUGUAGCAUGGAGUUUGAAAGACUGCGUUUACCAGGCAGGGAGAAAGACACCAUUGAGUUGCAUCAAGUCAGGAUAUCGUGGCCUCUUGCCACAUUCUCUCGUGACCAUUCUUUUUUCAAUCUGUCUGUUGCAAGUACCCAAACUUUAUGAAACUAUAAUACUAAAUUGCUGGAGUAUUCCUCUAAGUACAUGAUACAGAACAUAACUCAUUUCAUCGUUGGUCCCUGGUCUGCCUGCACCUGCUGCACUGCCACCGUGGAACCAAUAUGGAAGCGUAUCUGCCCAUAGUUAGUGACCUUUGACCCCUGGUGGUCAGCAGACGGAGGGGUGCCUCAUUAGAUUACUUCAGCGACACCUGCUGCUGGGCCAGGAAAGGGGUCACACCCUCCUGUCUCCCUCCACCGCUGGAAAUAGACCCUGUUGCUACAGAAGUUACAUAAGUCCCUGCUUUGUUGAGUGGCUGAUUAAUGAGCACAGAAGGUAAGAGACGUGUAAUAUCUAUUUCAGUGUGUCUGUGUGUGGAUGUUGUUGCAUGUAUGACUUUACAUUCUUGGAAGGAAGUGAAUGUACCACCUUUUCCUACACUAUUGCUUGCAGUCUAUUUUGGUGAGUCUUUCUCUUUGGUGGACUAUGGUACAUAACUACAUCCACAUUCCAAUAAAAUAAUUAUGUAAUGCCUAAAAAAUAAAUGUAACAGUUUAAUGUAGAUCUCAUUUGGUUUGCCUGCCUGUGUUCGCAGCACUAUGUUGGCCUCUGUCCUGGAAAGGAAGGUAAGAAUUUGGAGGCAGAUCUGCAGGUCAUUGAAACACACAGAGAGACAGGGAGAAGUUGGUGUUGGUGGGUUAAUAAAGUGCUGAGGUGGUGAGGAGUCAGCUGUCAUUCAAAGAUCCCCACUGCGUUACCGCUCCAGUUCUGCCUGUCAGCAGCUCUACACCUACUGUGCUCCAUGGCCUCUGGAAGAAAUCAAUACCUUCUUGUGUGCUUUGAUUUUAGUAUAGAUAUAAGGACUUUCUAAAAAAGGUGAAAAUUCAAUGUGAAAUAUGCUAUUGGAUGAUAGAAUGUACAUUACAUAGGCAGGUAAUGGCUAGAGCGUGACAAAGCAAAAGAGUAAAUAAAGCUAAAAAGAACUGCACAUUAAAUUCAGAUCUGAGUUACAUUACUGAAACAACCUGACAGAAACCCAAAGAAAGAGAAGUCCCAAAUAAGAAAUAAGAAAAUUAUUUUAUACUUUAAUGUUAUCUCUGGCAGACAUUAGCUGUAUUAAAUACACACAUUGCUUUCCAGUUUUUUCAGAGUGGAUGAAGUUUUGAGUUCACAUUUAAGCACGUAACCAACUUUAUUCCGGUCGAGUGUCAAAUCUUAAUCUGACUGUCCUGUUAAUACCAUGGCAAAUAGAAUUUGAAACAAUUAUUAUUUACAUAAGAUACAAAAAUAUAUUUCACAAAAAAGGCAAUAAGGAGCUCUAUAAAAUUACAAAUAUAUUUCUAUUAUAAAAAGCUAUUUUUAAAUACUCUUCCAGCUCAAGUUGGGGUGAGGGAGUGUAACCUGGUCUGUGUGGUGGGGUGAUUUGUGAUUCUGACAAUAAAUGUUCCAGUGACUCUUUGCAGCAUAUAUUCCACAUCUUCAUUCCUCACAACGUUUCAUGGAGUCCAUUGCCUCGUGGCUGCUGAGUAUUCUU